AAAGGUACAAAAGGGCGCCCAGAUAGCUCCGUUGGUAGAACAGGCGCCCAUAUGUAAAGGUUUACUCCCGAUGCAUUGGGCCCGGGUUUGAGUCUGGCCCUGCAGCCCUUUUCUGCAAGUCAUUCCCCCUCUCUCUCUCUCCUUUCAUUUCUUCAGCUGUCAAUAAAGGUCUAAAAAGGCCCCCCAAAAAAUCUU